GUGUCACAUGGGAUGAGGACUUUGAGCACGCACUGCCAAUAACUACACAGGGAGAGUGCACGAGGCCAAGCCCCUUCGUCCUUGCUGCCAUCACAAGAGAAGCUAUGCAAGCGUAUUCCAAGUGGGGACCUCGAACCACAAAGCUGGAGUAAGAGAAACAGAAUGAAAGGAAUACAUGGCCGCAUUUGAGGAGUGCAGGAUUAUAUCAGCACUUGGGAUGAACAAGAAGAAGAAGAAAAAGAAGGAGGAGGAGGAGAAGGAGAAGAAGGAGGAGGAGAAGAAGAGACCAGACUUUUGAGAGCAGCCUGACUGGCAUAGUGAAACUGUAUCUUUAAAAACAAGACAGAGAAAUGUUUAUAUUUUUUUUAUUUUCUCCUUUUAUAGUUAUAUGUUAUUUAUUUAUUUUUUAGAAAAUAUUUUUACAUAUAUAUACACAUAUUUAUAUAUCUUACUCUCUUCUCUCUUUUGGCACCCUCAGGUUAGUAUCCUUUGUUCUUCUAGACAGUAUUACAUAUUUAUUGUAUGUACUUAUUGUAUUAUAUAUUUAAUGUGCAUAUAUAUGAUUUCAUGCAACUGUACAAAAUCUAGGAAUCACAAAUUAAAGAAAACUUAUGAUAGUUACA